rnacentral:sRNA from 1 species
GCUGGGCACGGUGGCAUUUGCCUGUAAUCCCAGCAACAUGGGAGGCUGAGGCAGGAGGAUUGCGAGUUCAAAGCCAGCCUCAGCAAUGAUGAGGCACUAAGCAACUCAGUGAGACCCUGCCUCUA